rnacentral:rRNA from 1 species
UACGAAGGGUGCAAACGUUGCUCGGAAUUAUUGGGCGUAAAGCGCACGUAGGCGGCUUUGCAAGUCGGAUGUGAAAUCCCUCGGCUCAACCAAGGAAGUGCAUCCGAAACUGCAGAGCUUGAGUACCAAAGAGGAUCGCGGAAUUCCCGGUGUAGAGGUGAAAUUCGUAGAUAUCGGGAGGAACACCAGUGGCGAAGGCGGGCGAUCUGGGUGGAUACGUGACGCUGAGGUGCGAAAGCGUGGGGAGCAAACAGG